AUUGAACGCUGGCGGCAGGCUUAACACAUGCAAGUCGGACGGUAACGGGAAGAAAGCUUGCUUUCUUUGCUGACGAGUGGCGGACGGGUGAGUAAUGCUUGGGAAUCUGUUUUAUGGAGGGGGAUAACUACGGGAAACUGUAGCUAAUACCGCGUAAUAUCGAGAGAUUAAAGUGUGGGACCGUAAGGCCACAUGCCAUAGAGUGAGCCCAAGUGGGAUUAGGUAGUUGGUGGGGUAAAGGCCUACCAAGCCGUCGAUCUCUAGCUGGUCUGAGAGGAUGACCAGCCACACUGGGACUGAGACACGGCCCAGACUCCUACGGGAGGCAGCAGUGGGGAAUAUUGCACAAUGGGCGCAAGCCUGAUGCAGCCAUGCCGCGUGAAUGAAGAAGGCCUUCGGGUUGUAAAGUUCUUUCGGUGGUGAGGAAGGUUGUAAUGUUAAUAGCAUUAUAAUUUGACGUUAGCCACAGAAGAAGCACCGGCUAACUCCGUGCCAGCAGCCGCGGUAAUACGGAGGGUGCGAGCGUUAAUCGGAAUAACUGGGCGUAAAGGGCACGCAGGCGGAUACUUAAGUGAGGUGUGAAAGCCCUGGGCUUAACCUAGGAAUUGCAUUUCAUACUGGGUAUCUAGAGUAUUUUAGGGAGGGGUAGAAUUCCACGUGUAGCGGUGAAAUGCGUAGAGAUGUGGAGGAAUACCGAAGGCGAAGGCAGCCCCUUGGGGGAAUACUAACGCUCAUGUGCGAAAGCGUGGGGAGCAAACAGG
rnacentral:rRNA from 1 species